rnacentral:rRNA from 1 species
AACGAACGCUGGCGGCAGGCUUAACACAUGCAAGUCGAACGCCCCGCCAGGGGAGUGGCAGACGGGUGAGUACCGCGUGGGAACAUACCCUUUCCUGCGGAAUAGCUCCGGGAAACUGGAAUUAAUACCGCAUACGCCCUACGGGGGAAAGAUUUAUCGGGGAAGGAUUGGCCCGCGUUGGAUUAGCUAGUUGGUGGGGUAAAGGCCUACCAAGGCGACGAUCCAUAGCUGGUCUGAGAGGAUGAUCAGCCACAUUGGGACUGAGACACGGCCCAAACUCCUACGGGAGGCAGCAGUGGGGAAUAUUGGACAAUGGGCGCAAGCCUGAUCCAGCCAUGCCGCGUGAGUGAUGAAGGCCUUAGGGUUGUAAAGCUCUUUCACCGAUGAAGAUAAUGACGGUAGUCGGAGAAGAAGCCCCGGCUAACUUCGUG